UUGAAGCAGAGGACAGUGGCGGACGGGUGAGUAACGCGUGAGGAACCUGCCUUUCAGAGGGGGACAACAGUUGGAAACGACUGCUAAUACCGCAUGAAGCAUGACUAGGGCAUCCUGGACAUGCCAAAGAUUUAUCGCUGAAAGAUGGCCUCGCGUCUGAUUAGCUAGUUGGUGAGGUAACGGCCCACCAAGGCGACGAUCAGUAGCCGGACUGAGAGGUUGAACGGCCACAUUGGGACUGAGAUACGGCCCAGACUCC
rnacentral:rRNA from 1 species